rnacentral:rRNA from 1 species
UACAGAGGUCCCAAGCGUUGUUCGGAUUCACUGGGCGUAAAGGGCGCGUAGGCGGUCGGGUAAGUCUGAUGUGAAAUCUCACAGCUUAACUGUGAAACUGCAUUGGAUACUAUUCGGCUUGAGAGUUGGAGGGGGGACUGGAAUUCUCGGUGUAGCAGUGAAAUGCGUAGAUAUCGAGAGGAACACCAGUGGCGAAGGCGAGUCCCUGGUCGAAUACUGACGUUCAUGUGCGAAAGCGUGGGGAGCAAACAGG